rnacentral:rRNA from 1 species
GACGAACCGUGCGAACGUUGUUCGGAUUCACUGGGCUUAAAGGGCGCGUAGGCGGGCGGUCAAGUCGGGGGUGAAAUCUUUCAGCUUAACUGGAAAAGUGCCUCCGAUACUGAUCGCCUCGAGGGAGGUAGGGGCAUGUGGAACUUCCGGGUGGAGCGGUGAAAUGCGUAGAUAUCGGAAGGAACGCCGGUGGCGAAAGCGACGUGCUGGACCUCUUCUGACGCUGAGGCGCGAAAGCUAGGGGAGCAAACGGG